rnacentral:rRNA from 1 species
GACGAGCGCUGGCGGCGCGCCUAACACAUGCAAGUCGAACGGAGAAGUUAGCAAUAACUUUUUAGUGGCGAACGGGUGAGUAACGCGUAGACAACCAACCUUACAGCGGGGGACAACACUUCGAAAGGAGUGCUAAUACCGCAUACGCCCCUGUGUUCGCAUGGAUGGAGGAGGAAAGGAGCCGCAAGGCUUCACUGGCAAACGGGUCUGCGGCUGAUUAGCUAGUUGGGGGGGUAACGGCCCACCAAGGCAACGAUCAGUAGCCGGUCUGAGAGGAUAAACGGCCACACUGGGACUGAGACACGGCCCAGACUCCUACGGGAGGCAGCAGUGGGGAAUCUUCCGCAAUGGACGAAAGUCUAACGGAGCGACGCCGCGUGAGUGAUGAAGGCCCUUGGGUCGUAAAGCUCUGUCAUUGGGGACGAACGACCGCCUCAGGAAAUGGGGGCGGAGUGACGGUACCCAAGAAGGAAGCCACGGCUAACUACGUGCCAGCAGCCGCCGUAAGA